rnacentral:rRNA from 1 species
CUACGGGUCGCAGCAGUGGGGAAUAUUGCACAAUGGGCGCAAGCCUGAUGCAGCCAUGCCGCGUGUAUGAAGAAGGCCUUCGGGUUGUAAAGUACUUUCAGCGGGGAGGAAGGGAGUAAAGUUAAUACCUUUGCUCAUUGACGUUACCCGCAGAAGAAGCACCGGCUAACUCCGUGCCAGCAGCCGCGGUAAUACGGAGGGUGCAAGCGUUAAUCGGAAUUACUGGGCGUAAAGCGCACGCAGGCGGUUUGUUAAGUCAGAUGUGAAAUCCCCGGGCUCAACCUGGGAAAUGCAUCUGAUACUGGCAAGCUUGAGUCUCGUAGAGGGGGGUAGAAUUCCAGGUGUAGCGGUGAAAUGCGUAGAGAUCUGGAGGAAUACCGGUGGCGAAGGCGGCCCCCUGGACGAAGACUGACGCUCAGGUGCGAAAGCGUGGGGAGCAAACAGGAUUAGAUACCCGAGUAGUC